rnacentral:misc_RNA from 1 species
AGCAUACAAAGCUAUCGCUGAGUGCCGCUAAUUUUCAGGUAGUGAAGGUAAAGCUAAGAAAUUGGGAGAGAGUCGUCGAAAGGCUUAAGGGGAAUGGAGAAAGCAAAAGUGAAAAAAUGACUGAGCCGCUCCCCCCUUUAUGCAGGUUCGGGCAUUAAAUGCUCGUGAGACCCUAGGUGGCACAUCGGUCAGCAAAAAAUUUAAUUGUAUCCCAAUUUUCCAUGUGCACCAAGAAAAAAUCAAUGGAGAGGAGCUGGAUGGAAGAGAUCGGUUGAAAGAGUUUUGGCUAGAGAUCGAAUAGGAGGAGCUGAACGAAAGAGAUUGGUUGAAAAGGGUAUGACUAGAGAUCGGAUAGGAAAGGGUCCAAACGAAAGAGAUCGGCUGAAUAAGAGAGGGAUCGGAAGGAUGAUUAGAACAAUACAAAUAAUAAAGAACAUAAUAAAUAAAUAAAUAAAAACAGAGAAAGAAAGAAAAUGCUAUUUAGGAGCUCCAAAAUUCAGGCCAAGAGCCAGCUUUGGUCUGGUUUUGGUUCGUUCACGGUUUUGGGCUGAUUUUGAUUUCGAUUUAUGAAAUCAUUGUAACUUUCAAAUUCUCAAAAUAUCUAUAAACUAUCUACAAAGUUUUCAUAUAUUUUUUUUUUCAAAUUCAUUAGAAGAUUUUAUCUAAUUUAUAAUACAUACAAAUUUUCAUAAAUAAUUUAUAAAAUUUAUAAAAAUUCAUCAAUUAAAAAGAAAUUCGUUUUUAAGUAUUUCUACACCUUAAGCACGCCAGAGUAUAUUUUUGAAUCCAUUAACCUUUAAUAACCUGUAAUAAAACUAAAAAUCUAAAAUAUGCUAAUUA